UAAGCUGCGUCUCUGACACUCAGUCUACAGAAAUCGCGCAUUUUGCGUAUGCCUUCUCCCCAGCCACAGAACUCCAGUGUACUGUGUCUUCUACACUGAAGCAGCAGAACUGCUGAGAACUGGCUCUCUCUACAUCCAGCUUAUGGAACUACAGGAAGCUGUACAGCACUCCUGCCUGAGUGCAGGAGACAGUUUACGGGAGUUCUGUGUCUUGGGAGAAGUUAUACACAGUAGGUGUGAUUUCUUUAGCUUGACUGUAGGAGACGCAGCUUCCUGUAGUUCCAUAAACUGGAUGUAGAGAGAGGCAGUUUACUGCAGUUCUGCAGCCUCAUUGUAGGAGACAGUUUACCGGAGUUCUGUAGCAUACGAGUUGCCAUACGCAGUAUGCAGGAUUACUGUUGCCUUUGUGGAGAUGCAGCUUAUAGUAUUUCUGUAAACUAGACAUAGAGAGCGGCAUUGUACAGCAGUUCUGCAUCCUGACUGUAGUUCACACAGUUUCUGUGAGUUCUGUAGCUUCUGAGUAGGCAUAGGCACUAUGCAGGAUUUCUGUAGCGUGAGUGUAGGAGAAACAGCUUGCAGGAGUUCUGUACCAUGGAUGCAGAGAGACGCAGUUUGCAGGAGUUCUGAAGGCUGAGGUUAGGAGACACAGAUUAUAGGAGUUCUAUAGCCUGGGAUUUGGCAAACGCAGCAUGCAGUUUUGCUGUAGCUAGAGUGUAGGAGGCACAGCUUCCUGUAGUUCCAUAAGCUGGAUGUAGAGAGAGCCAGUUUUCAGCAGUUCUGCAGCUUCAGUGUCGAAAACCCACUUUAGUGGAGUUCUGUGGCUAAGGAGAAGGCAUACGCAAUAUGCGGGAUUUCUGUAGACUGAGUGUCAGAGACGCAGCUUACAGGAGUUCUGUAAGCUUGGCAAGAAGAGAAGCAGUUCACAGGACUAUUGCAGCCUGAGUGCAGGAGACAGUUUACGGGAGUUCUGUAUCUUGGGAGAAGAUAUACACAGUAGUUGUGAUUUCUUUAGCUGGACGGUAGGAGACGCAGCUUCCUGUAGUUCCUUGAACUGGAUUUACGAGAGGCAGUUUUCAGCAGUUCUGCAGCUUCAGUGUCGAAAACCCACUUUAGUGGAGUUCUGUGGCUAAGGAGAAGGCAUACGCAAUAUGCGGGAUUUCUGUAGACUGAGUGUCAGAGACGCAGCUUACAGGAGUUCUGUAAGCUUACCAACUCCUG